GACGGUAGGGUGCGAGCGUUGUCCGGAUUUAUUGGGCGUAAAGAGCUCGUAGGCGGCUUGUUGCGUCAGCUGUGAAAACCCGCGGCUUAACCGUGGGCCUGCAGCUGAUACGGGCAAGCUAGAGUUCGGUAGGGGAGACUGGAAUUCCUGGUGUAGCGGUGAAAUGCGCAGAUAUCAGGAGGAACACCGGUGGCGAAGGCGGGUCUCUGGACAGUUCCUGACGCUGAGGCACGAAGGUCAGGGGAGCAAACGGG
rnacentral:rRNA from 1 species